UCUCUUGCAGUCUUGCCUCUCUCUCACUGAUAUUCAUCUCUUUUCUCUCUCCUCAUUUUCUCUGCACACACACACUCAGGCUCUCAGCCAUUCGACCUACUCAUUUUCUAGGGUUCUAAACUUCCAUUUCUUUUUUUCAUAAUUCACUCCAUGAACUACCAAACCAUUCUCACUCCUAACUAUCAAUUUCAAAUCGAAACUCUACAUUCUUAAUUACAAACUGCAAUGAACGAUUUUUUCAAAAUUAGGGUUUUGAACUUUCGAUUCUUCAGAAAAGAUCUGAUUUGCCCCCUUUGCUUCUUCCCACUCUCUCGAACCCGAAUCCAACACCAGAGAUGAAGAUUGUUGCCGCUUGCUUGUUGUCUUCUUUGGGCGGUAAAGCUUGCCCUACUCUUGAUGAUAUCAAGAAAAAUCUUAGAUCAGUUAAUGCAGGGGCUUCUUGGUUUCAGCUAGGCCAGUUAAUGCAGGGGCUUCUUGGUUUCAGCUAGGCGCAAAAGUAGUGGGCUCACAAAUAAUGUAAACCAGUCAAUAUGAAAACCAUACGUGAAUUUUCAAUGAUUGAAGAUCUACAUUCAUACCUUGACAGUUUGAUUAGCUUUACCACCAAGUCUGAAUUUUGAUAUGAAGGCGUUCUCUUCAACAUCAACAUUGUUGAAGCUAGCACCGGUCUUCACAAUGGGUUCUUUUGACAGGGUGUCAAUCGGAGCUUGAACCAGUCCAAUUUCCAAAGGCCAAUGUCCAUUACUAAAUUCUUUGAUCCGCUAUGUCACCUUCUGCGCGUGCCGCAACCCCGUGUUCUGGCAUCUGCCGCAUCCCCGUGUUCUGGCAUCUGCCGCAUCCCCGCCACACUUCUCUCCCUGCCUAACUCCCGGGGAUAGCCCAAUACAAUUUGUAAACCUUACGGUGUUGGAUUACCAAUGUUGCUGCAUCUACAGCUUGGCAAUUUCCCACAUUUCUUUGUUUCUCUCUCCUCCUGCUUCAGAGAGUUUCAUGGUCAUGGAGGUGUAUGUGUCAGCCGCCUUUUUUACCUCAUGAUCACAUCACGGGCUAGGCCGCUGCAGGGAAAGAUUAAAGGUCAAGGCUUGAGUUACAAAGAGAUUCAAUUGAGAGGAUUUUUUGCUUUCAGAAAAAAGAAGGGAAGUUAGCUUUCAUGCGCCAAAGAAAAGAAUUGCAAACGAUGAAGACAAGUGCUUGGAGCCCAAAAAUUCACACCGCAGGCUAAAGCCCACAUGUAGUUCAGUCUGGCAAUGACUGAAAGCUGGUGAAGAACGGAUUUUAGGCUUAUUUCCUUGUUUGAAAGAGACAAAUGGCGUGUUGUUAACUUUAUCAAAAAUGGCUCCAAGUCCUUCCACACCAUCUUCAAGAGCUGCAUGCCUGCAUCUAGAAUGCUUAAUUGUAUCUUCUUUCAGGUGCCUCUCUCUUGAAAAUAUGGAAGAAGCUAAUGAUGGCACUGAGUUGCUGCAGCAACCAAAUGAUGGGUAGGAGAUAUCAUGUCACUGAACAAGUCGUAGUGGUUAGCGUCAACACUCAAGCGAAGGGGAACAAACAAUUUGCAACUAAAUUAAAGGUGUUCUUUAAUGGUGGCCGGGAAGCCGUGAAAGGAGGUUGAAGCUACAAUCCUUAAUAAAAUCAAGGCAAGCAUAAACCGUCUAAGCUAUUGUAUAAUACACUGAUUUAGAUGAUGUAUCCCCAUACUUGAUAAACUUUGAAACUCUAUUCUGGAAAUACAGUUGAUAAUUGAACCAUGAAAUCUUAGUGUAUGUGUGUGUUUGAAUGAGUAUUUCCAAGGCUCACCAAACCAUCUCUUCCAAGAUUAUGAUUAGUUGGUUUGGGUUAUUAGUUUGUAUUGCAAGUUCUAAUUUAAUUAGAUUAAAAUUUACAGUAAACCUCCAACGAUAUAGAAUUGUGGAAAUUAAGGUUGUGUUUUGGUAGAGUCGUAGAGGUAAAUGAUAAUGGAAUUAUCGAGAUUGAUAUUUAAAUUCUAAGCAAAAUUAGAUCUAUAUUGAUGAGGCAUGUCAUUUUAGCUUGCCUUUGGUAAUCGUUGUCUCUUGGUAUCAAUAUUAUUGAUGUAUUGGCAGUUAAAUGAUCUUUUCUUUGAGUUAAAACUUGGACCAUAUUGUCUUGGAAAAUCGCAAUGUUCUCAAUGUUUUAUUGGGUGUUGUCCUCUCAAAGGAUGUUGAUUAUGUAUUUUGAUGCAGAAAGGGUGCAAUAGAGGUUGGUCUUCCACAAGCUUGGUAAAUGUAUCUGAAGAUAUGACACAUCGAGGUCGAAAUGAAUGACAACAGGAUCAAAUGCAUCAUCACAGGCGAAAGCGAAAGCGAAAGCGAAGGAGAAAUCAACAGCAGGAAUAUCAUUAUCCAAACCUACAGCAUGCUAAAGGAUUUCCAUUGUGUCUAUCUGAACCUACAUCAUGCUAAAGGAAUAUGGAACGUAAGUAGUGUGUUUUCCAUGAUUAGGUGACUAAAACUGUAGCUUAUUGCGUUAAUGACUAUAUUUCUUAGAACUUAGUUAUUAUUUAUAUACCUCUUAAUUUUGAAUAAUAUUACUGUAACUUUAUCAUUUCGAAUCCUCGUGAGUUAGAAUUAAGUGUUGAACAAGAUAGUAUAUGCA